UCGGGCGUGGUGCGCAGUGCACAUCUGCUCAUCAUUGCCAGUUCAACAGGUGAUGCAGGAAGCCUGGGUUCGACUCCCGGCGUCCGAA